rnacentral:rRNA from 1 species
AGUGAACGCUGGCGGUAGGCCUAACACAUGCAAGUCGAACGGCAGCACAGUAAGAGCUUGCUCUUACGGGUGGCGAGUGGCGGACGGGUGAGGAAUACAUCGGAAUCUACUUUUUCGUGGGGGAUAACGUAGGGAAACUUACGCUAAUACCGCAUACGACCUACGGGUGAAAGCAGGGGAUCUUCGGACCUUGCGCGAUUGAAUGAGCCGAUGUCGGAUUAGCUAGUUGGCGGGGUAAAGGCCCACCAAGGCGACGAUCCGUAGCUGGUCUGAGAGGAUGAUCAGCCACACUGGAACUGAGACACGGUCCAGACUCCUACGGGAGGCAGCAGUGGGGAAUAUGGGACAAUGGGCGCAAGCCUGGUCCAGCCAUACCGCGUGGGUGAAGAAGGCCUUCGGGUUGUAAAGCCCUUUUGUUGGGAAAGAAAAGCAGCAGGUUAAUACCCCGCUGUUCUGACGGUACCCAAAGAAUAAGCACCGGCUAACUUCGUG